GCAUCAGCGUAGCUCAGUGGUUACUUCCAACCUGAUAAGUGUCAAGUUUCUAGUCUAAAGCUUAACAUCUGUGGGUUCGACUACAGGUGCUGUCUGUUGUUUUG
rnacentral:vault_RNA from 1 species